rnacentral:rRNA from 1 species
GUGUCAGCAGCCGCGGUAAUACAGAGGGUGCAAGCGUUAAUCGGAAUUACUGGGCGUAAAGGGUGCGUAGGUGGUUUGUUAAGUCAGGCGUGAAAUCCCUGGGCUCAACCUGGGAACUGCGUUUGAUACUGGCAGACUCGAGUCUGGUAGAGGGUAGUGGAAUUCCGCAUGUAGCGGUGAAAUGCGUAGAUAUGCGGAGGAACAUCAGUGGCGAAGGCGGCUACCUGGACCAAGACUGACACUGAGGCACGAAAGCGUGGGGAUCAAACAGGAUUAGAAACCCCUGUAGUCC